rnacentral:rRNA from 1 species
AGAGUUUGAUCCUGGCUCAGCCUGAACGCUGGCGGCGUGGCUAAGACAUGCAAGUCGCACGGGGUAGCAAUACCCAGUGGCGAACGGGAGAGUAAUGAAUCGCUAACGUACCCCGGACUCUGGGAUAGCUGCCCGAAAGGGCAGGUAAUACCAGAUGAGACCACGGUCAGGCAUCUGACUGUGCUCAAAGGUCCGCCGGUCUGGGAGCGGGCGAUUUCGUAUCAGCUAGUUGGUGAGGUAACGGCUCACCAAGGCGACGACGCGUAGCCGGACUGAGAGGUUGGCCGGCCUCAUUGGGACUGAGACACUGCCCAGACUCCUACGGGGGGCUGCAGUAACGAAUCUUCCGCAAUGCACGAAAGUGUGACGGAGCGACGCCGCGUGUGGGACGAAGUCCUUCGGGAUGUAAACCACUGUCAGGGGUUACCAAGUUCUGAGGAGCCCCAGAGGAAGGCACGGCUAACUCUGUGCCAGCCGCCGCGGUAAUUC